GUGGGGAAUAUUGGACAAUGGGGGGAACCCUGAUCCAGCCAUGCCGCGUGUGUGAAGAAGGCCUUUUGGUUGUAAAGCACUUUAAGCGAGGAGGAGGCUACCGAGAUUAAUACUCUUGGAUAGUGGACGUUACUCGCAGAAUAAGCACCGGCUAACUCUGUGCCAGCAGCCGCGGUAAUACAGAGGGUGCAAGCGUUAAUCGGAUUUACUGGGCGUAAAGCGCGCGUAGGUGGCCAAUUAAGUCAAAUGUGAAAUCCCCGAGCUUAACUUGGGAAUUGCAUUCGAUACUGGUUGGCUAGAGUAUGGGAGAGGAUGGUAUAAUUCCAGGUGUAGCGGUGAAAUGCGUAGAGAUCUGGAGGAAUACCGAUGGCGAAGGCAGCCAUCUGGCCUAAUACUGACACUGAGGUGCGAAAGCAUGGGGAGCAAACAGGAUUAGAAACCCUGGUAGUCC
rnacentral:rRNA from 1 species